UACGUAGGGGGCAAGCGUUAUCCGGAUUUACUGGGUGUAAAGGGAGCGUAGACGGAAUUGCAAGUCUGAUGUGAAAAUUCGGGGCCCAACCCCGGAACUGCAUUGGAAACUGUAUUUCUAGAGUGUCGGAGAGGCAAGUGGAAUUCCUGGUGUAGCGGUGAAAUGCGUAGAUAUCAGGAGGAACACCAGUGGCGAAGGCGGCUUGCUGGACGAUGACUGACGUUGAGGCUCGAAAGCGCGGGGAGCAAACAGG
rnacentral:rRNA from 1 species